AACGAACGCUGGCGGCAUGCCUAACACAUGCAAGUCGAACGAAGGCUUCGGCCUUAGUGGCGCACGGGUGCGUAACGCGUGGGAAUCUGCCCUUUGGUUCGGAAUAACAGCUGGAAACGGCUGCUAAUACCGGAUGAUGACGAAAGUCCAAAGAUUUAUCGCCAGAGGAUGAGCCCGCGUGGGAUUAGGUAGUUGGUGGGGUAAAGGCCUACCAAGCCGACGAUCCAUAGCUGGUCUGAGAGGAUGAUCAGCCACACUGGGACUGAGACACGGCCCAGACUCCUACGGGAGGCAGCAGUGGGGAAUAGUGGACAAUGGGCGCAAGCCUGAUCCAGCAAUGCCGCGUGAGUGAUGAAGGCCCUAGGGUUGUAAAGCUCUUGUACCCGGGAAGAUAAUGACUGUACCGGGAGAAUAAGCCCCGGCUAACUCCGUG
rnacentral:rRNA from 1 species